GAUGAACGCUGGCGGCGUGCCUAAUACAUGCAAGUCGAACGCAGUGGGGACGGGUGAUUAACACGUGGGUAACCUCCCAUCAGAGGGGAUAACACUUGGCAACAGGUGCUAAACCGAUACUGAUGGAUGGACCCGCGGUGCUUUAGCUAGUUGGUGAGGUAACGGCUCACCAAGGCCACGAUGAGUAGCCGACCUGAGAGGGUGAUCGGCCACACUGGGACUGAGACACGGCCCAGACUCCGACGGGAGGCAGCAGUAGGGAAUAUUCGGCAAUGGACGAAAGUUUGACCGAGCAACGCCGCGUGAGUGAAGAAGGUUUUCGGAUCGUAAAACUCUGUUGUUAGAGAAGCGGUAUCUAACCAGAAAGCAACGGCUAACUACGUGCCAGCAGCCGCGGUAAUAC
rnacentral:rRNA from 1 species